rnacentral:lncRNA from 1 species
CCCGCUCGCUGCCCUAUCCAGCCGCGGCCGCUGAGGCCUGCAGCGCCGCCUGCCGGCACCGCCUCGUGCCCGCAGCCCGCAGGUGGUGGGCGCAGCUCCUGCAGCUGCGGCAUCGCGGCGGAGGGCUCGCGCGUUCCGACCGCCGCUGAGGCAGCGCGUGGGCGCGCGACCAACGGCCGUAACGGUCGUUCCGGUUAUUCAAACAGCGCUCGGCCGCCGGAGCGUUUGCGCCUUCCGGCUAUAGAGGGAUCUCCGCAGAGAGGGACGGAGGGUCGUCGCCUCAUCCUCGAGCCUGAGGGGCAGAGGGUAGACCAAGCUCAGCUCUAACUGUAAACAUACUGUACAGGGUACCAAAGGAACAAAGCCUGGCUAACUGAAGGCUAUGAUGGGAUAUAAAGAAAACCCACAAGUAAAACUGCUUCUUGAUGAAAUGCUGAAAACAAAUCCAAAAAAAUUCUGGACGUUAUUUGGAAUAAAUGGAACAAUCUGUUGAUUCCUUGAGUUGAAGCUCUCCCUGGAAAUGAAAUAGGGUUGAAAUUUCUGACUGCAUUAAAUCACUGAGGCUCAAGUCACAGUACAUUUCAGUAGAAGCCAAUGCCGGGAUUUUACUGAAGCUGGUAAGGAGAAGAGGUCUCAUAAGAUUUACCUAACUCAUGCAGUGGGACAUGGAGCUGCUGCUGUGAAAUUCAAAGAACUUGAAGGUAUCAAAACAGACAGAUGGCUACCAGUGGGUUUAGUAUUUGAUAUCAAGCACAGUUCUGAUGAAUUCUGAUGAGUGACUUGGGAAGUGCCAGAUGAUGGAAGAUGAAUAUCAGAUAGCCUGAAUAAAAGAACACAAGAACUUCAUUAUGCUGUUUUCUGAAAUACAGGAAGCAAGAGGUUAAAGGAGGAUGGAGAAACAAAUAGGAAGAAUGCUCAGCGUUUACUACUUAUGAAGCAGUAUCAUGUUGUGGUAAUUCAGGCAUUUGUCUAAUAAGUCUCUAGAAAUAACCUCCGAACAAUUCAGAUAGCAGCAGCCAUUACAGGCUGUUCACAAGCUGCUGAUAUAACUGUGGAGACACGUCUAGUAAAAGUCACCUGGGAUCAAACUAAAAUGAGUGACGGUGGAGCUGCUUCCAUAUCACAUCUUCUUCCAGUACAGAACUUUUCAGGAACAGAAUGUAACACUGCUCCAAAGUCUUGGCAUGCCAGUGUUGCCUUUGUGUAUUUGAAGUAUUUCCACUGGUCUUCGGAGUCCUGUCAUCCACCAAUGUGGAAUCCACAACUCAGAGCUGUGACUAUCCUUUGGAAGGAACAGACAUGACAACCAUCGUCUUAACUGCACUGUGUCAGAGGAACCAUGAGUUUGGCAGCAAUCCAUACCCAGUGCAUGGAGGACCUUCAGAUGAAUUUUUUCUGCUACAGUUUAACUUGCCACGUUUAAUUUGCAAGUAUCAAGAAAGAAGGAAAGGAACACUGGAUUCCGGUUUUGCAUAAACAAGUCCUGAAGAACUCUGGAAGCCUGUCUGCUUAUUGUUAAGAUUCACUGGAGAGGCAAGGAAAAGCACGUACAGCUAAUGGGGCCAUCUCCCGGGGUCAUCCAGCAGCUGUUCCUGUUGAAUAUUCAAACACACCCAUCCACACCCACCUCCACCCAUGCAGAAAAGGAUUGAAAGGAUCACCAGACAAGAAACAAGAAAGCAAGACUGCUGACAUUUAAAAAUGAAAUUUGCUUUUGCAUUAUUUUUAGGUGGACCACAGCACACUAACAACUCAGAGCCGGACAGAGAGAGAGCAGGUGGCCAGGAAAGGGAACUGCUCAGGCCAGCAUAAACACAGUGUUGCAGCAACCACCACAUUAGAACCAG